UGGGUUGUGGCUCAGCGGUAGAGCACUCACUUAGCAAGUGUGAGGCCCUGGGUUUGAUUCUCAGCACCACAU
rnacentral:tRNA from 1 species